rnacentral:rRNA from 1 species
UACGUAGGGGGCUAGCGUUGUCCGGAAUCAUUGGGCGUAAAGCGCGUGUAGGCGGUCCGGUAAGUCCGCUGUGAAAGUCGAGGGCUCAACCCUCGAACGCCGGUGGAUACUGUCGGGCUAGAGUCCGGAAGAGGCGAGUGGAAUUCCUGGUGUAGCGGUGGAAUGCGCAGAUAUCAGGAGGAACACCGAUGGCGAAGGCAGCUCGCUGGGACGGUACUGACGCUGAGGCGCGAAAGCGUGGGGAGCGAACAGG